rnacentral:rRNA from 1 species
UAAGGUGGUUAUAGCGACGGGGCUCACCUCUUACCAUUCCGAACAGAGUAGUUAAGCCCGUUUGCGCCGAUGGUACUGCUUUACUGUGGAAGAGUAGGUCGCCGCCUUUUUUAUAUCGAUUUUAAUCGAUAUUUGUAAAACCCUUACUAGAUAACUAGUAAGGGUUUUUUUUGUUUAUG